rnacentral:rRNA from 1 species
CCUACGGGAGGCAGCAGUGGGGAAUAUUGCACAAUGGGGGAAACCCUGAUGCAGCGACGCCGCGUGAGUGAAGAAGUAUUUCGGUAUGUAAAGCUCUAUCAGCAGGGAAGAAAAUGACGGUACCUGAGUAAGAAGCCCCGGCUAACUACGUGCCAGCAGCCGCGGGAAUACGUAGGGGGCAAGCGUUAUCCGGAUUUACUGGGUGUACAGGGAGCGUAGACGGCAGCGCAAGUCUGAAGUGAAAUGCCGGGGCUUAACCCCGGAACUGCGUUGGAAACUGUGCAGCUAGAGUGCAGGAGAGGUUAGUGGAAUUCCUAGUGUAGCGGUGAAAUGCGUAGAUAUUAGGAGGAACACCAGUGGCGAAGGCGGCUUACUGGACUGUACCUGACGUUGAGGCUCG